GACGAACGCUGGCGGCGUGCUUAACACAUGCAAGUCGAACGGAAAGGCCCUGCUUGCAGGGUACUCGAGUGGCGAACGGGUGAGUAACACGUGGGUGAUCUGCCCUGCACUUCGGGAUAAGCCUGGAAAACUGGGUCUAAUACCGGAUAGGAGCCAUUUUUAGUGUGAUGGUUGGAAAGUUUUUUCGGUGUAGGAUGAGCUCGCGGCCUAUCAGCUUGUUGGUGGGGUAAUGGCCUACCAAGGCGGCGACGGGUAGCCGGCCUGAGAGGGUGGACGGCCACAUUGGGACUGAGAUACGGCCCAGACUCCUACGGGAGGCAGCAGUGGGGAAUAUUGCACAAUGGGCGCAAGCCUGAUGCAGCGACGCCGCGUGGGGGAUGACGGCCUUCGGGUUGUAAACUCCUUUCGCUAGGGACGAAGCUUUUUGUGACGGUACCUAGAUAAGAAGCACCGGCUAACUACGUG
rnacentral:rRNA from 1 species